rnacentral:rRNA from 1 species
AGUGAACGCUGGCGGUAGGCCUAACACAUGCAAGUCGAACGGCAGCACAGUAAGAGCUUGCUCUUACGGGUGGCGAGUGGCGGACGGGUGAGGAAUACAUCGGAAUCUACUUUUUCGUGGGGGAUAACGUAGGGAAACUUACGCUAAUACCGCAUACGACCUACGGGUGAAAGCAGGGGAUCUUCGGACCUUGCGCGAUUGAAUGAGCCGAUGUCGGAUUAGCUAGUUGGCGGGGUAAAGGCCCACCAAGGCGACGAUCCGUAGCUGGUCUGAGAGGAUGACCAGCCACACUGGGACUGAGACACGGCCCAGACUCCGACGGGAGGCAGCAGUGGGGAAUUUUGGACAAUGGGGGCAAGCCUGAUCCAGCCAUCCCGCGUGUGCGAUGAAGGACUUCGGGUUGUAAAGCACUGGUGUCAGGAAAGAAAAGUCGCGGGCUAAUACCCCGUGGAACUGACGGUACCUGCAGAAUAAGCACCGGCUAACUACGUG